GACGAACGCUGGCGGCGUGCUUAACACAUGCAAGUCGAACGGUGAAGCGCCUUCCUUUUUGGUGGGUGUGGAUGAGUGGCGAACGGGUGAGUAACACGUGAGUAACCUGCCCCCUUCUUCUGGAUAACCGCAUGAAAGUGUGGCUAAUACGGGAUAUUCUGGGUCUGUCGCAUGAUGGGUCUGGGAAAGAUAUUGUUUCGGUGGGUGAUGGGCUCGCGGCCUAUCAGCUUGUUGGUGGGGUGAUGGCCUACCAAGGCGGUGACGGGUAGCCGGCCUGAGAGGGUGGACGGUCACACUGGGACUGAGACACGGCACAGACUCCUACGAGAGGCAGCAGUGGGGAAUAUUGCACAAUGGGCGCAAGCCUGAUGCAGCGACGCCGCGUGAGGGAUGGAGGCCUUCGGGUUGUGAACCUCUUUCGCAAGUGAAGCAGGCCUGCCUCGUUUGUGGGUGGGUUGACGGUAGCUGGAUAAGAAGCGCCGGCUAACUACGUG
rnacentral:rRNA from 1 species